AGAGUUUGAUCCUGGCUCAGAGCGAACGCUGGCGGCAGGCCUAACACAUGCAAGUCGAACGGGCCCUUCGGGGUCAGUGGCAGACGGGUGAGUAACGCGUGGGAACGUGCCCAUCGGUUCGGAAUAACCCAGGGAAACUUGGGCUAAUACCGGAUACGUCCUUUUUGGAGAAAGAUUUAUCGCCGAUGGAUCGGCCCGCGUCUGAUUAGCUAGUUGGUGGGGUAAUGGCCCGCCAAGGCGACGAUCAGUAGCUGGUCUGAGAGGAUGAUCAGCCACACUGGGACUGAGACACGGCCCAGACUCCUACGGGAGGCAGCAGUGGGGAAUAUUGGACAAUGGGCGCAAGCCUGAUCCAGCCAUGCCGCGUGAGUGAUGAAGGCCCUAGGGUUGUAAAGCUCUUUCACCCACGACGAUAAUGACGGUAGUGGGAGAAGAAGCCCCGGCUAACUUCGUGCCAGCAGCCGCGGUAAUACGAAGGGGGCUAGCGUUGCUCGGAAUCACUGGGCGUAAAGGGCGCGUAGGCGGACCUUUAAGUCAGGGGUGAAAGCCUGUGGCUCAACCACAGAAUUGCCUUCGAUACUGCAUGGCUUGAGACCGGAAGAGGUAAGUGGAACUGCGAGUGUAGAGGUGAAAUUCGUAGAUAUUCGCAAGAACACCAGUGGCGAAGGCGGCUUACUGGUCCGGUUCUGACGCUGAGGCGCGAAAGCGUGGGGAGCAAACAGGAUUAGAUACCCUAGUAGUCC
rnacentral:rRNA from 1 species